GACGAACGCUGGCGGCGUGCUUAACACAUGCAAGUCGAACGGAAAGGCCCUGCUUUUGUGGGGUGCUCGAGUGGCGAACGGGUGAGUAACACGUGAGUAACCUGCCCUUGACUUUGGGAUAACUUCAGGGAACUGGGGCUAAUACCGGAUAGGAGCUCCUGCUGCAUGGUGGGGGUUGGAAAGUUUCGGCGGUUGGGGAUGGACUCGCGGCUUAUCAGCUUGUUGGUGGGGUAGUGGCUUACCAAGGCUCUGACGGGUAGCCGGCCUGAGAGGGUGACCGGCCACAUUGGGACUGAGAUACGGCCCAGACUCCUACGGGAGGCAGCAGUGGGGAAUAUUGCACAAUGGGCGGAAGCCUGAUGCAGCAACGCCGCGUGCGGGAUGACGGCCUUCGGGUUGUAAACCGCUUUCGCCUGUGACGAAGCGUGAGUGACGGUAAUGGGUAAAGAAGCACCGGCUAACUACGUG
rnacentral:rRNA from 1 species